AGAGUUUGAUCAUGGCUCAGGACGAACGCUGGCGGCGUGCCUAAUACAUGCAAGUCGAGCGGACCGAACAGGAGCUUGCUCUUGUUCGGUUAGCGGCGGACGGGUGAGUAACACGUGGGUAACCUACCCGUAAGACCGGGAUAACUCCGGGAAACCGGAGCUAAUACCGGAUAACACCAAAGACCGCAUGGUCUUUGGCUGAAAGGCGGCUUCGGCUGUCACUUACGGAUGGGCCCGCGGCGCAUUAGCUAGUUGGUGAGGUAACGGCUCACCAAGGCGACGAUGCGUAGCCGGCCUAUAGAGGGUGACCGGCCACACUGGGACUGAGACACGGCCCAGACUCCUACGGGAGGCAGCAGUAGGGAAUCUUCCGCAAUGGACGAAAGUCUGACGGAGCGACGCCGCGUGAGCGAAGAAGGUCUUCGGAUCGUAAAGCUCUGUUGUUAGGGAAGAAGAAGUACCGUU
rnacentral:rRNA from 1 species